GGAAACCUUAGACAGCCAGAGCUGAGGGAGGGAUUGUUUAGAAGAGGAAGGGGUGGGUGCUACAAGCUCCCAGCCAUCCACUUACUGGGAGUCCACCAUGCACCAGGCCUGCAAUGAAGGGGAGAGGUGUGGUCCCUGCCUCCAGGGGAGACAGUCACAAAACCCCUGAUAUAGGACAAAUGCUUACCCCAAGGUGAAUGUAUUAGCAGAGGGGGCUUUGGGGAGGUGACUCGGUGAUGAAGGCAGAGCCCUCAUGGAUGGAUGAACAUCCUUCCAGGAAGAAACACGAGGGGGCUUGCUUCCUCCCCUGCUCUCCGCCAUGCAAGGACGCAGGAAGAAGGUGUUGUCCAUGAACCAGAAAUCAGGCCUUCCACACACACGGGAUCUACCAGCACCUUAAUCUUGGACUUGCGGCCUCUGGAACUGUGAGGACUAAAUGCCUGUUGUUUAAGCCUCCCAGUCUCUGGUAUUUUGGUUAUAGCAGCCUGAACUGACAGGAGUGAAAAUCAGAUGUGGCGGGCUGGAGAUAAAAGGGGAAAGUAGGAAGUACAGGUGGCAAGAGUAGCCCAUUCCUUCAAAAAGCUCUCCUGUGAGCAGGAGGCAAAGGGGGCACCCAGGACGGACAGAAGGUCACUGACAAGGAGGAAGCAUGACUGUGUGCGAAGGAGGAGCAGCCAGCGAGGGGAGGAACAGUCUGUGCAGAAGUGCAGGGACGCCAAGAGCGGGCUGCUUGAGAUGUUUGGUGAAAUGAGGCAACGUGCCUGUGAUUUUGUUUUCCACCCCAGUUGCCGGGGCAUGCUCUGAGGCUUGCAAUUUCCGUGGGCACAGCCAGGAUUUAGAAGAACAAGCAAAAGAAAAAGGCACACUUCGUUGUCCCUGGGAUCCAGAACAGUGAAUUCAAAUAAAGAAUUCGUCUCAUCAGUGGACAGCCAAGAGGAGGGCAAAAGGGAGAGAAAAUUCAAGUCCAAGGAGAUCUUCCUUUUCUUCACAGCGCAAUGAUUUGAAAAGCUUCAUCAUAAAGUGGGGACUGCCUAUGCACGUUCCAUUUCAAACUUCAUCAUAUUCUGAGAUGAUAAAGUCGUCUCUGUCACGUUAGCAAAAAUAAAAAUAAGAGAACGGGUAGAGGCAGAUGGCUUGAGGGCUUUAUGAAAGAAAAGAAAAGAAAAGGCAGAAGUUUAACCUCCGGAGCAGGGUCUAUAAAUAGAACCAAAAAAUCAGUGAGACAUUAAAAUUGAUGGUUAAGCAAAAACACAAGUAAGUUAUUAAAGAACAAAAAAAUUGUGUACAACAAUCAACUACUCAAUUAAUGGAACCAUGUCCGGAUGAGUAAAUGGAAUGGCCAGAAUGGAGGUCCUGCCAAGGGUGGCUGGCCCCUUCCAGCCCACUCUUUUGCUAUCAGCACAGCUAGGCCCUCCACUGCCAGGCCCUCCAGCCCCAUUCUCCAGAAAGACGGUGACCCCAGGGCCCUAGGGCCGACUUCAAAGAAAGUUCAAAGAUUCCUUUCAACUUGUUAACUAGUCCUACUUUGUCCAAACAUGGACUCAGCUAUUGGAGGCCCAAAAGGUGAGUCAAAAAAAAGAAAGCAAAAACAGCUCAUGUCCUAUAGAGGAGUUAUUGUCGAAUUUCAAAAUGAAACAAGCACCCUCAGAACCGUCAAUCAUGGCAGGAGAAUCUCCUCCGGAAGAGACGUGCACAGCUCCUUGGAGUUUGCUUUCUUCUGAGGAGAAAGUAGUUUAUUUUCAAAUCAUAAAGGUUAUACAAAC
rnacentral:lncRNA from 1 species